GAGUUUGAUCCUGGCUCAGGAUGAACGCUGGCGGUAUGCUUAACACAUGCAAGUCGAACGAAAGUUUUUAACUUUAGUGGCGAACGGGUGCGUAAUACGUGAGAAUCUGCCCUUAGGAGGAGAAUAACUUCUGGAAACGGUUGCUAAGUCUCCAUAUGCCGAGAGGUGAAAUAGUUUAUACUGCCUAGGGAUGAGCUCACGCCUGAUUAGCUUGUUGGUAAGGUAAUGGCUUACCAAGGCCACGAUCAGUAGCUGGUUUGAGAGAACGAUCAGCCACACUGGGACUGAGACACGGCCCAGACUCCUCCGGGAGGCAGCAGUGAGGAAUUUUCCGCAAUGGGCGAAAGCCUGACGGAGCAAUACCGCGUGAGGGACGAAGGAUUUUGGUCUGUAAACCUCUUUUCUCAAGAAAGAAGUUCUGACGGUACUUGAGGAAUAAGCAUCGGCUAACUCCGUGCCAGCAGCCGCGGUAAUACGGGGGAUGCAAGCGUUAUCCGGAAUCAUUGGGCGUAAAGCGCCUGUAGGUUGUUUAAUAAGUCUGUUGUUAAAGACUAGGGCUUAACCCUAGGAAAGCAAUGGAAACUAUUAGACUAGAGUAUAGUAGAGGUAAAGGGAAUUUCCAGUGGAGCGGUGAAAUGCGUAGAGAUUGGAAAGAACACCGAUGGCGAAGGCACUUUACUGGGCUAUUACUGACACUCAGAGACGAAAGCUAGGGUAGCAAAUGGGAUUAGAUACCCCAGUAGUCCUAGCUGUAAACAAUGGAUACUAGGUGUUGAACAGAUCGAUCUGUGCAGUACUAAAGCUAACGCGUUAAGUAUCCCGCCUGGGGAGUA
rnacentral:rRNA from 1 species